UGGCAGAGCUGCUCUCUAUUCCGGCGCGCGGAUAAAAUGUGUCUGCUAAUUUUGGGAGAGCUUCGUUUCACCCGAACGAACUAAGGAAGUGACGUCGAGAUGACGUAGCCCAGCGUUCGCAAAGUAUAUUGAUCGGCGACUACAAAUCGAGCUGACGCAGUGGCGGGAGAAAAUCGAGCUGGCGUAAAAGUGGCGGGAGAGUCGUGUGUUUAUUGGCUCAGUGCUGUAGAGUUCUGCUGCUGCGGUAUGUCGCUAACUCCUGUUUCGGGCACUUCUUCGAGUAUGUCUACUGACCGUGUUGAAGACAGGGAAGUAGAUGUGUUCGAGAGGUUAAUGCGUUCAUCGCUGAAAGAUGUAUGUAUUAACAGAGACAUCCAUGGAUUUUGCGAGACAGAAGAGGAUAUUGUCCAUCUUCUGAGCAACCUGCGCGUCCAUGGCUACGCAUACUCAGUUAUAAGAAGUGCGUAUUAUCGCCAGCCCCCUUCAGGUUCUACUAAACAUGAGACAGGAUUCUUCUACAGCCACACAAAACGCAACAUACCAAUACAGUUUUUUGGCCCUAUUUUUUGUGUUGAAAGCUUAGUGAAAAGAGUGUACUCUUGGCCCAUUAUAUCAUAAAAAGGAGACUCCUGUUGCAGAUCAUCUGGUGGACCAUGUUAACCCAAAGAAGAAGAGAAAAGUUCUCAUGGACACACAGAAGAAAGGCUGUCCAGCAACACUGGAUGUUAAGUGUGUCGGGUAUUACCCUAUAAUGCGAUAAACUCGGCAACAGAGAGUUCAAAAAAAAAGA